CACUUAUUUCCUGCCAUUGAACGCAUCACAAAUACAUGGCUUCAACCACAUGACUUUGCUCAGCCAAUCGGAUGGCAUGUAGGUCAUAGUAAGCCUGUCCCGGCUUCCUCCCGUCAGAUGCGUGGAGGCAAGCCAGGUGACAGAGCUGUUGCAGAUGCUGAUUACUGUGAGCCAGAGCCAUAGUGUUGUUGUGCACUGACCAGAACGGAAUUGGCCAGGUGACCCUUUUUGGGUAUGAAAAAGGAUGGCGAGCCAAUGAACGGCUAGGAGCAGGACUCAUUCUGCAUUUUAGCUUCCACUGGACUGGUAGGAAGCUAUCAAAGACGACGCUCUGUCCCCAUUUCCCAACCACACUGAUUUCCACAAUCAUACACACCAUUCCCCCCGUUUAUGGACAAUAGCGCUUGGACAUCUCUCAUGGACAUUCAGAUAAAACUCAUGGACUUCAGUGUGGAUCAGUGGUUUGGAUGUUAACAUGUGUUACUUAUGGGGAACUGUUUUUUGUUUUUGAGAAUCUAUAUUGCUUGGUAUAAGCCAUAAGCCUGAAGAAUUUGCUUAGUUGUCUUUGCAUCCCCACUGGGUUUUUGAUUUAUUGAAUAGCUGCAGCAGGAAUGAUUAUUUAAGUUUUCCUUAUCUUUUCUUGUUAUUUUCGGUUAAAUACAUGGUACCUGCAAAAGCAUUUUGCGUUGUGUGUAUUUAUUAAUUACUGCCCAUCAGCUCCAGUAGCAUUCCUAAAUCUUCUGAUUAAUAAUAACCAUAACAUUUCACUUAAUACCUAGUCUGUAUUAAUUCAUUAGCGCUUCAUCAGUGUUACAUGCAUCCUUAAAACAAAUGAAAACGGAAAGGUUGACAAAGAUGACUGGGGGUUUGGGGGUUAAUAAAUGGAAACCCUAUUUUUCUAAUAAUUCCUGUGACGACUCCUGCUUUUUCAACUCGGUCCAUCACAUGUGGUGUCAGAAGUGGGAUCUUUCAGUUGAGGAUACAGGAUUUUUUUUUGCACAUUUCUACCUUUUUUU